rnacentral:rRNA from 1 species
UGGGGAAUUUUGGACAAUGGGCGAAAGCCUGAUCCAGCAAUGCCGCGUGUGUGAAGAAGGCCUUCGGGUUGUAAAGCACUUUUGUCCGGAAAGAAAUCCUCUGGGUUAAUACCUCGGGGGGAUGACGGUACCGGAAGAAUAAGCACCGGCUAACUACGUGCCAGCAGCCGCGGUAAUACGUAGGGUGCAAGCGUUAAUCGGAAUUACUGGGCGUAAAGCGUGCGCAGGCGGUUUUGUAAGACGGAUGUGAAAUCCCCGGGCUUAACCUGGGAACUGCAUUCGUGACUGCAAGGCUAGAGUAUGGCAGAGGGGGGUAGAAUUCCACGUGUAGCAGUGAAAUGCGUAGAGAUGUGGAGGAAUACCGAUGGCGAAGGCAGCCCCCUGGGCCAAUACUGACGCUCAUGCACGAAAGCGUGGGGAGCAAACAGGAUUAGAUACCCUGGUAGUCCACGCCCUAAACGAUGUCAACUAGUUGUUGGGGAUUCAUUUCCUUAGUAACGUAGCUAACGCGUGAAGUUGACCGCCUGGGGAGUAUGGUCGCAAGAUUAAAACUCAAAUGAAUUGACGGGGUCAUAGCUGUUUCCU